AUAAUUUAAGACUGGAAUGAAAGAGUCAACCUAAGAAAACUUAUUUUUUUUUUAAUAUUCAAAUUUUACUUUUUAGUAAAAAGGCUAAAAUAAUUUUUAUAGACAAGAAGACCCUGUAAAACUUUACAUAUUUAUAUCUAAAAAAUAAAAAUUAUGUUCAGCUGGGGCGGCAAAAGAUCUAAACAUUUUUAAAAAAAAAUAAAACUUUUAAAAUACCCAGAAUUUCUGAAAAUUAAUCAAGCUACUUCAGGGAUAACAGCGUUAUAUAUUUUUAAAGACCAUAUUGACAAAUAUGUUUGCGACCUCGAUGUUGGAUUGU
rnacentral:rRNA from 1 species